AACGAACGCUGGCGGCAGGCUUAACACAUGCAAGUCGAACGCUCCGCAAGGAGAGUGGCAGACGGGUGAGUAACGCGUGGGAACAUACCCCUCGGUUCGGAAUAACUCAGGGAAACUUGAGCUAAUACCGAAUACGGUCGAGAGGCGAAAGAUUUAUCGCCGAGGGAUUGGCCCGCGUCCGAUUAGCUAGUUGGUGAGGUAAUGGCUCACCAAGGCGACGAUCGGUAGCUGGUCUGAGAGGAUGAUCAGCCACAUUGGGACUGAGACACGGCCCAAACUCCUACGGGAGGCAGCAGUGGGGAAUAUUGGACAAUGGGCGAAAGCCUGAUCCAGCCAUGCCGCGUGAGUGAUGACGGCCUUAGGGUUGUAAAGCUCUUUCAUCAGGGACGAUAAUGACGGUACCUGAAGAAGAAGCCCCGGCUAACUUCGUGCCAGCAGCCGCGGUAAUACGAAGGGGGCUAGCGUUGUUCGGAAUUACUGGGCGUAAAGCGCAUGUAGGGCGGGGUCUUUAAGUCAGGGGUGAAACGCCAAGGCUCGACCUUGGAACUGCCUUUGAUACUGGAGAUUCUUGAGUCCGGGAGAGGUGAGUGGAACUGCGAGUGUAGAGGUGAAAUUCGUAGAUAUUCGCAAGAACACCAGUGGCGAAGGCGGCUCACUGGCCCGGUACUGACGCUGAGAUGCGAAAGCGUGGGGAGCAAACAGGAUUAGAUACCCUGGUAGUCCACGCUGUAAACGAUGGAUGCUAGCCGUUAGGCAGCUUGCUGCUUAGUGGCGCAGUUAACACUUUAAGCAUCCCGCCUGGGGAGUACGGUCGCAAGAUA
rnacentral:rRNA from 1 species